ACCAAAAAGCUUAAAUCAACUAACCUUGUGAGGAGUAAUCCUUAGUUAACCCCCUUUUAGCUUAUUUUAGGAUUCAUUUGAUUGAUCAUUGUAAAAUCAAUUGAAAAUUGUGGAAUAAAUGAAUCCUAAUUUCUUUCGUAUCAGUUGAAACCUCAAACCGAGUUGUUUGCAAAUUUUGCCUUUUGCUUAUGUCUAAGUAGGGAGCAUUAUUGAAUGAAUUUGGUUUUGGAAUCUAAAGUUGGGGAGAGUAAAGUGAAAAGUUGAUUAGAAACUUGGAAAAGUGAGUUCUAUGAAAGGGUAAGAAUAUGAAAAGAAACAAGAAAAAGAAAUCACCCGUGAAACCAUAGAGCAUAAAAAAAAAAAAUGUUGGGGAGAGUAAAGUGAAAAGUUGAUUAGAAACUUGGAAAAGUGAGUUUCUAUGAAAGGGUAAAAAUAUGAAAAGAAACAAGAAAAAGAAAUCACCCUUGAAACCAUAGAGCAUAGAAAAAAAAA
rnacentral:lncRNA from 1 species